rnacentral:misc_RNA from 1 species
UUUAUUGUUAAAUUGAAUUUUAAUUGAUUUACCUUUUUCGUGGUACGAAGUUCUAGUACUGGUGAAAAACCAAGCAAAACACCCAAUCCCCAAUGUCCAGAUUCCUCAUUCACCCUCACCCAUUCGCAGCAGCUCUCUUUGGUUUUUGAGCACAGCCACUCACUACUCGCAAUCUCAGAAACCCAUAUCCUAAAACCAAGAGCAGACAUCCAAAAAACAAACGAAUCAAUCAUGAAAAGGGAACACCCAAAUCUCCAUCCUCGGUUAGACCCAGCUUCUGCUGGCAGCUCUUCUUCUGGCUAUUCUACCAUGCCAUCUGUUAAUACCAAUACUAAUGAUGACACUUCUUGCAAAGCCAAGAUGUGGGAAGACGAUGCUCAAGCUGAUGGUGGGAUGGAUGAGCUUUUGGCUG